GGCUGUGCCCAGAAGCUGUCCAGGCUGGCUUAGCCAAGACCCUCUCGCAGUCUCUUCUAUGAAGUUGCUCCGAUGAACUAUGCACUCUGAGAGAAGCUGAAGGGCAGAUGGCUGGUACUUUAGGCUGCCCCAAGGGAGAGCCUCUACACCUUAUCCUACCUCAGACCUCCACCGUGUGUCAUGUCCUGGCGGGAGUAGUGCAUCCGGGUCCCUCAUCACCUGCACCCUGAUCCACACUUCUGAGGUCUGUCACCAUUGGAAGUGCAGAGCCAGUCAACUGGGACCCCUAGUUGGUUCCACCAAACCUACCAGCCAACAGGCAAGAUGGAAAAAAACCCACAAUCUGUCUACUGACCAAACCUUGCAGACCACAGAAUCAUACCAUGAAUCUGAAGGAUCACCCUUCUCCUCCACAGCCCCAGAUCCCUUUCUUGUCCAUCCUGUCGGGAAUUAAGCUAGCCCCCCCCCCUUGCUCUGUUCCAUACUCCAUUGCUGACACUAUGGACUGUUUACAUAAUCAUGGUUUGGCCAGAAAAAUUCCCCACCCAUUCCUUUAAUCCAUCUUCUUUCUACCUCGAGACCUUCCCUGCCUGUAGGGUAACAUUAAUCUCACCAGUUAAAACCAUUGCAAUAGUUGCUAAGGAAGUUCUUAGCAUGCCUUUUUCCUUUCUCCACGCCCUUUUCCUAGUCAUUUCUGUUUCUGACUUGCCACUUCCAGUUUUAACCUAUAAAAUUCACUUAUGUUUCUGGAUUCACUCUCUUUUCCGUGUCCCAAUGUGGAGGAGGGUAGUCAUGCAGACAGGCAGGCAGAUGCUGGACAUUGAGGCUUGACGCCAUGUGGUUUUACCUGCUGUGCUCACACCCAACUCUGGGACUCCCACAUGAAUAAAGAAUUGUAUUAUGCUGCCACGAA